GUUCUGGGCAGCUAUAUUGGGAUUCUUAUCAAAUUAUAUUCAUAUAACUAUAAUUUGUAUCAAAAAACAUAAAGAAAAAUGCAAUGAAUAUUUGAAAUAUGCAAUGUUUUAGGCUGGCACAUAUGCAAUACCAAUUAAUACAUUUAAUUGAACAGUGAAGUACAUACAGUGCACAGAAUCUCUGUAUUUUAUUGUUCUGUACUUUUUGCAUUGCUACUAUUUCCAGGUCCAGCAGAAGAAGAGCGCUAGAACUUUAUCAUCAUGUACUGGUGCUUAAAGAAGCAGCAAAGCGGCAGGCAUUAUCUCCACAUCACAAAGCCUUUAGGGUGUAGCCUGGCCAGCACUCUUUAUAAAUUAGGUAAACUGUUACUUAGUUGCUCCAGUCUGCAGGAGAAACAAGAAGCAGUGGAGCUUCUACAAAAAGCAAUGGAUCCUUGGGUCAUCUUGCUCAGUUCCCAGUCAUGGUUUGUCUAAAGAAAUGUUGUGGAUUUUGAAAAAAUAAGACUGAAGCCCCUGACUUAACACUUCAUAGGCAAACUAGCAUGUUACCAGAGCAAGAGAAUCUGGAAGGAGCACCCCACCAGACUCCCGACCACAGACGAACAUGAAGAUGAGGCAGAGAUCCAAAAGCUGCAUUCAACUGAGAUCCUGUACCAGUACCGUCAGUAACAGACUCCAAGUGAAAGUCAACCUUCAAUCCUAUCUGGAGGAACCUCCAAGGAAAAGUUCUGUUCAAAACCACUUUACCAACCAAAGUCCCUGCAGUGUCAGUAUAAGUAAAGUAAAGGACUAGGGAGUGACAAUGUAAGGAUCAAAACAGACAUCUCUGUGUCUUCACAAGACACCCAACAUGAUUCAUUAAGGGAUAUUGUGUCUGCCAAAAGUGAUGGUGCAUGACCUAUGUUAUCCAGAAGGGGUGUGGUAUCAGCUCCAAAAAUGCUCAGUCUACAGGCCUCAGACUGUUUGCCAGACCUCCAUAUCAGCACCCUACAGUACCAUUAGAGAUUUGAUGCCAUCACUUACACUGGAUGUGUCAGACAGAAACAGAGUCCUCCACCGAAUGGCUUGGUACCAUGUACCAGGCAGGUACAUCACUCUUCAUAAACCAUUUCCUCCCAAAUGGAAUCUGCUGAGAAGUAGCUGUCAGGCAAACAGAUAGGUGUGACUGAGUUUUUGCUGUAACAUGGUCUCUGGUAUGCAGCUCAUGCCACUGUUCUACGUUCUCAUGCUAAGUGAUUAAUCACUUUAUAUUCUUUAUAUCUCUUGAUAUUACUAGACGGCUUUCUACUAUACAUUAAUUUCAGAAAUCAUUUCACCAUACUCAGUAACAUAUACCAUUCAUAACAGUUGCAUCAAAAAUGCUUUCAGGAAUGUUACAUAAUUGUAUUUUAAUAGCUACACCACAUUUUGCUGAGAGUUUGUGAUUGCUUGUGAUUAUACAGUAUAAUUUAUAUAGACAUGGAAAUGUUACUAGUUUUCUUACAUCAAUGGUUAUUUUUUCUUUUAAAGAACGUUAUGAAAAUACAAUGUUGAU